UACCCGCAGCACAAGUGGUGGUCAUUAUUAUUGGGCCUAAAGCGUCCGUAGCUGGCGUGUUAGAUGCCUGGGUAAAUCGAUGCGCUCAACGCAUCGAACUCCGGGUAGACCGGCAGGCUUGGGACCGGGAGAGAUGUGAGCUACUCGAGGGGUAGGGGUAAAAUCCUGUAAUCCUUCGGGGAGGACCAGUGGCGAAGGCGUCACAUUAGAACGGCUCCGACAGUGAGGGACGAAGCCCUGGGGCGCAAACCGG
rnacentral:rRNA from 1 species